rnacentral:rRNA from 1 species
CGGGGUGAGUAAUGUCUGGGAAACUGUCUGAUGGAGGGGGAUAACUGCUGGAAACGGUAGCUAAUACCGCAUAACGUCGCAAGACCAAAGAGGGGGACCUUCGGGCCUCUUGCCAUCGGAUGUGCCCAGAUGGGAUUAGCUAGUAGGUGGGGUAACGGCUCACCUAGGCGACGAUCCCUAGCUGGUCUGAGAGGAUGACCAGCCACACUGGAACUGAGACACGGUCCAG